rnacentral:rRNA from 1 species
CGGGACGGGUGAGUAAUGUCUAGGGAAACUGCCGAUGGAGGGGGAUAACUACUGGAAACGGUAGCUAAUACCGCAUAACGUCGCAAGACCAAAGAGGGGACCUUCGGGCCUCUUGCCAUCGGAUGUGCCCAGAUGGGAUUAGCUAGUAGGUGGGGUAACGGCUCACCUAGGCGACGAUCCCUAGCUGGUCUGAGAGGAUGACCAGCCACACUGGAACUGAGACACGGUCCAG